rnacentral:tRNA from 1 species
AUUAGGGUCUGCUACACAAGCAAUUGGGCCCAUGCCCCAAAAACGGAACACAACCCCCUAAUA